GACGAACGCUGGCGGCGUGCUUAACACAUGCAAGUCGAACGCUGAAGCUCAGCUUUUGUUGGGUGGAUGAGUGGCGAACGGGUGAGUAACACGUGAGUAACCUGCCCCCUUCUUUGGGAUAACGCCCGGAAACGGGUGCUAAUACUGGAUAUUCACUGGUCUUCGCAUGGGGGUUGGUGGAAAGGGUUUUUCUGGUGGGGGAUGGGCUCGCGGCCUAUCAGCUUGUUGGUGGGGUGAUGGCCUACCAAGGCUUUGACGGGUAGCCGGCCUGAGAGGGUGACCGGUAAAAUGGGGACUGGGAUACGGCCAGACUCCUACGGGAGGCAGCAGUGGGGAAUAUUGCACAAUGGGCGCAAGCCUGAUGCAGCGACGCCGCGUGAGGGAUGGAGGCCUUCGGGUUGUGAACCUCUUUCGCUCAUGGUCAAGCCGCAACAAUGGUUGUGGUGAGGGUAGUGGGUAAAGAAGCGCCGGCUAACUACGUG
rnacentral:rRNA from 1 species